UACGGAGGGUGCGAGCGUUGUCCGGAAUCAUUGGGCGUAAAGGGCUCGUAGGCGGUUUGUCACGUCGGGCGUGAAAACUCAGGGCUCAACCCUGAGCGUGCGUUCGAUACGGGCAGACUAGAGGUAUGCAGGGGAGAACGGAAUUCCUGGUGUAGCGGUGGAAUGCGCAGAUAUCAGGAGGAACACCGGUGGCGAAGGCGGUUCUCUGGGCAUUACCUGACGCUGAGGAGCGAAAGCAUGGGGAGCGAACAGG
rnacentral:rRNA from 1 species